CUUCCAUCAUGGUUUGUCCUAAGAGACUGGGUAUAGUCCCCUGUGCUGUACAGUAGGGUCUCAUUGCUAAUCUAUUCUAAAUGUAAUUGUUUGCAUCUAUUUUAAAUAUAUAUUAAUCAAAACUGUCCACAAAAAUGCAGAAACAUGUGACCUGUUCAAACUGAACAUUCUGUACCUAAGUAGUAGCUAUUUAUCUGUGAUAAUAAUCUUGUUGGGAUGUUUGACUUCCUAAGUUAGAAAUAAAAAAUAUUUUCUAAAACUCGUCUUACAGGUAAAAGAAUAUCCUAUUUCUACAUUUGUAUCUGAAAUCAGCGUGUAAUUUUCCGCCCACAUGGAUGAGUGCCAACUUUUGCAUUUCCAGUGCAUAUCCUACGACCAUUCUCCCUGGGCAAGCCAUUCAUCUUUUUAGAACAUCCUUCAAAGAGUUCAUGCGUCUUACCGAGGACACCUGACCUUUUGAAGCCUCAUAAUUCACAUCUAGAUGUCACCGGUCUUUCCCAUGUUAACAGUUCUGACUAUGUUUUAUUAUAUGUGCCUUCGGCGCCGAGCCAGGAUAGCUACACGAGGAGAAAUAAUGAACAGCCAUAGGACUAUAGAAUCAAACAGCCGGGCUUCCCCUCUCAAUGCAGAGGUGGUCCAGUAUGCCAAAGAAGUGGUUGAUUUCAGCUCCCAUUAUGGGAGUGAGAAUAGCAUGUCCUAUACCAUGUGGAACUUAGCAGGUGUCCCAAACGUGUUCCCAAGUUCUGGUGACUUCACUCAGACGGCUGUGUUUCGAACUUACGGAACGUGGUGGGACCAGUGUCCUAGUGCUUCUGUACCGUUCAAGAGGACGCCACCUAACUUUCAGAGCCAAGACUACGUGGAACUUGCUUUUGAACAGCAGGUGUAUCCCACAGCUGUUCACGUUCUGGAAACUUACCAUCCUGGAGCAGUCAUUAGAAUUCUAGCUUGUUCUGCAAAUCCCUAUUCCCCAAGUCCACCAGCGGAAGUCAGAUGGGAGAUUCUUUGGUCAGAGAAACCUACGAAGGUGAAUGCUUCCCAGGCUCGCCAGUUUAAACCUUGUAUUAAGCAGAUAAAUUUCCCCACAAAUCUUAUACGGCUGGAAGUAAAUAGUUCUCUUCUGGAUUAUUACACUGAAUUAGAUGCAGUUGUAUUACAUGGUGUGAAGGACAAGCCACUGCUUUCUCUCAAGACUUCACUUAUUGACAUGAAUGAUCUAGAUGAAGAUGACUAUGAAGAAAAGGAUGGUUGUGGAAUGGACAAUCUGAACAAAAAGUUUAGCAGUAUUGCCCUCAGGGAAGGGCCAAGUAAUGGAUAUUUUGAUAAACUACCUUAUGAGUUAAUUCAACUUUUCAAAAAUCACUUACUUUUGCCACACUGCUGCAGAGAGCGCAGUACAUGCAAGGGGGUUAAUCAAUACAAGUGUAGCCCUGUAAAAUAUAUAUAUAUAUAUAAGAAAACUUUCUGGGCAAAAGUGAGAGAUACUGCAUUGCUGUUUAUGACGAGUAAAUGCAGAUUAAAUCAUUUAUUCAUUCUAGCUACUACAGCUGGCAAAGGACACAUUAGUGAGACAGGGUUUGCUUUGUUUCUGAAGGUCUGUGGAUCUGAAUUAGUACGCCUUGAAUUAUCUUGCAGCCAUUUCCUUAAUGAAACUUGCUUGGAGAUUAUUUCUGAGAUGUGUCCAAAUCUACAGGACUUAAAUCUCUCAUCCUGUGAUAAACUACCACCUCAGGCUUUCAACCACAUUGCCAAAUUAUGCGGCCUUAAACGACUCAUUCUCUAUCGAACAAAAGUAGAGCAAACAGGCCUGCUCAGCAUUUUGAACUUCUGCUCAGAGCUUCAGCACCUCAGUUUGGGUAGUUGUGUCAUGAUUGAG
rnacentral:lncRNA from 1 species